rnacentral:piRNA from 1 species
UGCAGAAGCAAAGAACACAACAGAUGACA